AGUGAACGCUGGCGGUAGGCCUAACACAUGCAAGUCGAGCGGCAGCACAGUAAGAGCUUGCUCUUACGGGUGGCGAGUGGCGGACGGGUGAGGAAUACAUCGGAAUCUACUUUUUCGUGGGGGAUAACGUAGGGAAACUUACGCUAAUACCGCAUACGACCUACGGGUGAAAGCAGGGGGUCUUCGGACCUUGCGCGAUUGAAUGAGCCGAUGUCGGAUUAGCUAGUUGGCGGGGUAAAGGCCCACCAAGGCGACGAUCCGUAGCUGGUCUGAGAGGAUGAUCAGCCACACUGGAACUGAGACACGGUCCAGACUCCUACGGGAGGCAGCAGUGGGGAAUAUUGGACAAUGGGCGCAAGCCUGAUCCAGCCAUACCGCGUGGGUGAAGAAGGCCUUCGGGUUGUAAAGCCCUUUUGUUGGGAAAGAAAAGCAGCAGGUUAAUACCCCGCUGUUCUGACGGUACCCAAAGAAUAAGCACCGGCUAACUUCGUG
rnacentral:rRNA from 1 species